UCCCACUACAUACACACAACCGAAGAGGAAAAGAAAACCGCACGACGGAACGUGGGAGUCGAUCAAGGAGAGAUGAACUCACGACCAUUCCCAUCUCAGUUACAACUACCAGAUAUGAUCUAUAUAAUACGAGAAAGGUGAUGACCAACAUAUAAAGGGGAAAAGAGAAAAUUCGAAUACACCCAAAUCUCCAAUCGAAACGUUAUUUGGUUCCUAUUUUUGAGAUUUUGUAUUGACAGGUGGGUGUUUCACUGGUUUGGUUUUAAUUACACUUCUCUUUUCGUCAUCAAUUUCAAUUUUGGCUUUUGGAUAGGCUUCCUAUUGUUUCAUUCUGUUGAUUAUUAUUUGAAAUACCAAUUUUUAGUUUUGAAUUUUAGUUCAAACGUGUUUGAAGAUAGCAUGAUUUGUUUGGUUAAACACAAUGCUUGAAGGGAUACCGGUGGAUUGGAAGAAGGGACUUUCGAACUUCACUUUACAGGUCCACCCUUUUUGUUGAGUUAAGUGAUUCUAUGGGUUUGUAGUGAUGAUUCUAUUAUUUGUGUUAUUCAAUUUUCUCUUGGGCUGCAGAAAGCGCUUCGUUUGUUUUUUCUGUGGUUAUUUGGCACCCAUUAAAGAGUCUGGAGAACAGAGUUAUGCCUAAAUCUAUUAUCUGGGUUUCAUUAAGUUCAUUACUGAGUUUUAACUUUUCUUUUCAUUUAUAUUUAUUCAGACGUAUUUGAUGCUCUUUAUUUUUUUUUAUUUUUUUUUAUCUCUUGAUUCUUCUGUUUCAAACAGCCAGGAGUGAUUAACACCAUGUUUAGUUUGAAUGGAAAUCUCAUUUCAGGAGUGAUCAGCCAUGCAACUAGAGAAAAUUGACUGUGCAACCAGAUCAACCCAUCAACUCAUCUCAUCUCAAGAUAUGUUGUUCCUGUUUUUGAAUAUCAUUAUGUCCCUCAAUGAAAUUUGUCUGAUAUUCUUUCAUUAGGUAGUGUAACGUGUGGGAUUACAUUGCUUUCUUUCUUUCUGUUGUUUGAUAAAUAUGAUUAAAGACACAUACCAUUAUGCCUUGCAUUGCUUCUAUAAUAGUGAUGAUUAUGAUGAUUGAUAUUUGGUAAAACUAAAGCUCUGUGCUUUCUGUGGAUUUGCUUCAAGAGGCUUGGUUCUAUUCAGUGAUCCGUUUGGUAAGCAAUCUCAGCCAAUAUUAUUCUGUGGGGGUGUUUAUAUAUAGGUCUUAUGGGGACUUAUGUACUGAAAGAAGGUUCUUUCUCUCCUUCAUGAUUGAUAUAAGUUGAUUGCUAUUUCAUGUUACAGUGCUCAAGACUGGACUGCAGAUUAGAGAAAUAAAUAUUCAAGAAACACAUAGCUGGUGCUAUUUACGUUCAUGCAACUGGAGUCGAUGACCCAUGGUUGUUUCUAGAGUUUCAGUAGUGGUAAUUCUUGAUUUUUUUUUUAUCAUUUCAUUUAUAUAAGGCUUUGACCAAUUGAACUUACACAUCCAUUUUUUUUUAUUAUUUAUUUAUUUAUUUAUUUUGAGAAUGCAUCCAUUCUUUUAGUUGUGUCUGCAUUUCAGAGGAAGAUUAAAUUCCCGAAAAACAACCAAUUGGUAGGUUUUUUCAAUGAAAGCAUUAGUUCAGUUCCUGGCAAUGUAUGUCUGUUUGUUUUUCUCUAUUGCCUUUUUGCUUGAUUUCAGACAUAUUUGAUGCUUUUUUUUUUUGACUUACAGUUUUAAUGAAAGUUUCAAUCAAUGUAUGAAUUACUCAAUUACUUUUUGUUGUAUAUCUAAUAUUUGCUCCUUAUUGUUCUUCAGGCUAGGUGAACGUAUAUAUUGAUACUUCCUCUUUCCUUUUAUUUCUUUUCUUUUAUUGGAGUACAGAUGCAGGAGUUCGGGAUUUCUGUUCGGUUCAUGACUUGCUUAAUUUGAUGCCCAUUACGUUUUUUUUUUUCUUAUUCUUUUAUCCUGCUCACUUAAACCUUUUUAUUCAUUAGUUGUUGUUUUUAUUAAGUACAAUAAACUAUACUAUUGUUUCACUA